AGUGGCGGACGGGUGGAGUAAUGUCUGGGAAACUGCCUGAUGGAGGGGGGAGUAACUACUGGAAACGGUAGCUAAUACCGCAUAACGUCGCAAGACCAAAGAGGGGGGACCGUUCGGGGCCUCUUGCCAUCGGAUGUGCCCAGAUGGGAUUAGCUAGUAGGUGGGGUAACGGGCUCACCUAGGCGACGAUCCCUAGCUGGUCUGAGAGGAUGACCAGCCACACUGGAACUGAGACACGGCCCAGACUCCUACGGGAGGCAGCAUG
rnacentral:rRNA from 1 species